AUUGAACGCUGGCGGCAUGCCUUACACAUGCAAGUCGAACGGCAGCACGGGAGCAAUCCCGGUGGCGAGUGGCGAACGGGUGAGUAAAGUAUCGGAACGUGCCCAGUCGUGGGGGAUAACGUAGCGAAAGUUACGCUAAUACCGCAUACGAUCUAUGGAUGAAAGCGGGGGAUCGCAAGACCUCGCGCGAUUGGAGCGGCCGAUAUCAGAUUAGGUAGUUGGUGGGGUAAAGGCUCACCAAGCCGACGAUCUGUAGCUGGUCUGAGAGGACGACCAGCCACACUGGGACUGAGACACGGCCCAGACUCCUACGGGAGGCAGCAGUGGGGAAUUUUGGACAAUGGGCGAAAGCCUGAUCCAGCCAUGCCGCGUGCAGGAUGAAGGCCUUCGGGUUGUAAACUGCUUUUGUACGGAACGAAAAGGUUUGGCCUAAUAAGCUGAGCUCAUGACGGUACCGUAAGAAUAAGCACCGGCUAACUACGUGCCAGCCGCCGCAUAA
rnacentral:rRNA from 1 species